AAUAUUGCACAAUGGGCGAAAGCCUGAUGCAGCGACGCCGCGUGGGGGAUGACGGCCUUCGGGUUGUAAACCUCUUUUACCACUAACGCAGGCUCCACGUUCUCGUGGGGUUGACGGUAGGUGGGGAAUAAGGACCGUCUAACUACGUGCCAGCAGCCGCGGUAAUACGUAGGGUCCGAGCGUUGUCCGGAAUUAUUGGGCGUAAAGAGCUCGUAGGCGGCGUGUCGCGUCUGCUGUGAAAGACCGGGGCUUAACUCCGGUUCUGCAGUGGAUACGGGCACGCUAGAGGUAGGUAGGGGAGACUGGAAUUCCUGGUGUAGCGGUGAAAUGCGCAGAUAUCAGGAGGAACACCGGUGGCGAAGGCGGGUCUCUGGGCCUUACCUGACGCUGAGGAGCGAAAGCAUGGGGAGCGAACAG
rnacentral:rRNA from 1 species